GAUGAACGCUGGCGGCGUGCUUAACACAUGCAAGUCGAACGGGUUAGCUUUCGGGCUAGCUAGUGGCGGACGGGUGCGUAACACGUAGGUGACCUGCCCUGGAGUGGGGAAUAAUUCCGCUAACGCGGGACUAAUACCGCAUGUAUUCAGUCAUUCGUUUGGCUGAGCAAAGCCUUUGGGCGCUUCAGGAUGGGCCUGCGGCGGAUUAGGUAGUUGGUAGGGUAACGGCCUACCAAGCCGAUGAUCCGUAGGGGGCGUGAGAGCGUGACCCCCCACAUUGGCACUGAGAUACGGGCCAAACUCCUACGGGUGGCAG
rnacentral:rRNA from 1 species